UGUGACUUGUCAUGGGACCUGACUGGGAC
rnacentral:piRNA from 1 species